UCAGAAUAUAAUCUGCUUAAGGGCACAGUUUAAGGCACAGUUCACACCAUCGUUUGAAAGAUUUGCAUCCUGUUUGGCCUCCCUUCCUACAUUCAGGUCCAAAAGUGAAGGAAGAGAAUUCUCAGCAUGGCAUCCUUAUAACCUAAGCCUUAUUGACAUCCUUCAUUCCAUCCUGAAGAUGACUUGUGAGAGAGAAAGUGUUGGUACAACGUGUGUGCCACUUUGGAGCCCUCUAAUAAGUGAUACCAUCCUAACAUUCAUAAAGGUAGUGCUGCUUGAACUGCCCAAGGCCACGGAGGAGUAAAGAGAGUAACAGUACUGAUAGUCUGUCACAGAGGACAGGACUUGGACCCUGUAGAGGACCCACUAUCAAACCUGUGCUGCAGGUGGAGGUGAUGAGGUGUAAAUUAGCUUUUAUGCAAAUGAGCAACCCAAGGGAGCAUGGGUGGUGGGAAGGAGGGGGGACAGUCAUUGUUUGGAGUUACACAGGACAUAGAGUCGUCAGGGU
rnacentral:lncRNA from 1 species